GGAUGGAGGGGGAUCCCCCAGCAAUCAGACACUACCGGCGAGCCAGCCCCGGGGAGGGGCGACUGGUGGACCAGGCGCCAGACCUUCCCGGGCGCGCAGCCCACGGGCCCUGGGGCGCGCCCACGCCAGAGCCCGGCCCUCGCGCGGCAGCCCGCGGGACGUCACCUGGGUGCUCGCGUCCUCCCCGCGCGGCGGACAGCCCGGGCGCCCUUCCUCUCUGCGGGACUGCAGGUCUAUCCGCUAAGCGCGCGUGACCAAAAACGGCUCUCAGCGGGUCCCAGCUGACGGAAGCUGACAAGUUUAUUUAAUCCCUGAACCUGGAUCCAAGGCAUCUCCCUGUAGAAAACAUCAGACCGGGGCAGAGAUUGACAAAGCAACCCAAAGCAGCAGCUGCCAACGGCCGCUGUGCCCACCUCAUCAGCAGCUAAAGAGUAUAAUUUUAAAAAAAGUCACAGAAGAAUGUGGAGACACUUAGCAAAACGGACUCUCAUAAGGAGGCUGAUGGACUACAUCCAUGGGGUACUUUGUCCUCUGGCUUCCAAUUAGAUUCAGACAACAGGAAGCAUCAACAGCUAAUGGGAGACGAAGAGGAAAAAUUGGGGUACCUAUUCCCCUAGAUUACUCCCUGCUGAUUGCUGCAGAGGGGCUUCAUCCUUGCCCUGGUUUCUGGAAAACACUCUUUCAUUGCCCAUGCAGGCCUAGGAGUGAUGAUGCCUCACUGGAUGGCAAAGUCUCUUAUUGGUUUCCCUAAAUCUUACUCACAACUUGUAGAUACUCCCUCUAUUAAAUCCUUUUCAGUUA
rnacentral:lncRNA from 1 species